AGAGUUUGAUCCUGGCUCAGAUUGAACGCUGGCGGCAUGCCUUACACAUGCAAGUCGAACGGCAGCACGGAGCUUGCUCUGGUGGCGAGUGGCGAACGGGUGAGUAAUAUAUCGGAACGUACCCUAGAGUGGGGGAUAACGUAGCGAAAGUUACGCUAAUACCGCAUACGAUCUAAGGAUGAAAGUGGGGGAUUCGCAAGAACCUCAUGCUCGUGGAGCGGCCGAUAUCUGAUUAGCUAGUUGGUAGGGUAAAAGCCUACCAAGGCAUCGAUCAGUAGCUGGUCUGAGAGGACGACCAGCCACACUGGAACUGAGACACGGUCCAGACUCCUACGGGAGGCAGCAGUGGGGAAUUUUGGACAAUGGGCGCAAGCCUGAUCCAGCAAUGCCGCGUGAGUGAAGAAGGCCUUCGGGUUGUAAAGCUCUUUUGUCAGGGAAGAAACGGUGGGAGCUAAUAUCUCUCACUAAUGACGGUACCUGAAGAAUAAGCACCGGCUAACUACGUGCCAGCAGCCGCGGUAGUACGUAGGGUG
rnacentral:rRNA from 1 species